AAUACGCACUUAGACAGCUGUUUAUCACGUGAAGAGAAGAAGGAAAGCCUCAGAAGUUCUAUUCACAAAAGGAAGCCAUUGCCCAAAACUGUAUAUAACUUGCUCUCAGAUCGUGAUUUAAAGAAAAAGCUAAAACAGCAUGGAUUAUCUAUUCAAGGAAAUAAACAACAACUCAUUAAAAGACACCAAGAAUUUGUACACAUGUACAAUGCCCAGUGUGAUGCUUUGCAUCCUAAAUCAGAUGUUCAGCCUUCAGGGAUAAAGCCAACAACUCAGUACCAAUGUACACUCUCAUCAGGAGGGCAUGAGUAUUUCAGUUUUUCCACGUCCUUGACAACAUCAGUAUUUUCCAUUUUGGCCAUUCUAGUGGGUCCAUGGUAGUAUCUCAUUAUGGUUUUAAUUUGCAUUUUCCUAAUGACUUAUAAUGUUUAGCACAUUUUUAUAUGCUUAUUGGCCAUCUGGAUAUCAUCUUUGGUGAAAUACCCAUUUAAGUCAUAUGCCCAAUUUUUCUAUACUGUGGAUCUAUUUUCUUCUUAUUUAUUUGUG